rnacentral:lncRNA from 1 species
UAUGUUUUCACCAUUUUAUUUUUACUUAUUUUAGUUUAUUUAUUUAUUUAAAAAAAAGGUUAAUUUCAUACAGAUUCCAAUAAAUAUAGUGAAUUACAAAUAUAUCCCUGUAAAAUUCAAAUUUCACAUAUUAUCCCUAUAAAGUCUUAGGGCGUGUUUGGUUCGAAGUCGGAAUUAGAAUCGAAAUUGUAAUCAAAAUAAGCUGGAAUCGAAAUCGGAAUGACUCAUUACCUAAUUCUGUUUGGUUCAUUACCUGAAUUGGAAUUGGAAUAAAUUAUUCUCAUUGUAAGUGUUUGAUUCAGGUGGAUAUAAAAAACGUAAUCAAAUUAAUAUACUAAUAUUAUCUUUAUAACCUAUUAAUUUAAAUUCAAAUUAAAAAUUAAAUAUUAAAAAUUUACAUCAAAAUUUUAAAAUAAUGUCAAAAUUUUAAAUCUAUUUUUUUUAAAAAAAAUUAAACUUUGAAGUUGAGUGGAUAAUUCAAAAUAUGAAACUAAAAUUUGAUUUAUCCAAAUUCAAACUUAAAAUUAUAAUUUAAAUUUUAAUUUGAAUCCAUAAAUUUAAUUUAAAUUUGAAAUAAAAUUUGAAUAAAACUUUAUAUAAAUUAAAAUUUAAUUUAAAUUCAAAUUCAUAAGUUAGAUUCGAAAUACUUGAUUAAAUUUUAAAUUUUAAUUUAAGUUUAAAUUAAAAUUUAAAAUUAUAUAUUUAAUUUUAAAAUUUUAACUCAUAUUUUAAUUAAAAAAGUUGAAAAAAUAAAUUUAAUCCGAAAAAAUAUCCAUUCCGUCCGGAUUCAACUUUCAAUCCGACUUUUUAGGCCGGAUUGAAAAAAGAGGUUAUUGGGAGAUUUCCAUUCCACUCGGGAAUGGGAAUCGGAAUGGGACUCCCGCGUACCAAACACCUGCAAACGGAUUCGCCCAUUCCGAUUCCGAUUUCAGGGUGUAAAAGAAGCGAACCAAACACGCCCUUAAUAUUUUCAAAUAUAGUCCUGUUAUUUUAACCCUAGUUAGUUAAUGAGCGAACCAAACACGCCCUUAAUGUUUUCAAAUAUAGUCCUGUUAUUUUAACCCUAGUUAGUUAAUGAGAUGAAUUGACCUUUUUACCCUUAUUUAAUUAAGGGUUGUGACUUUUGGAGGGACAUAUUUGUGAUGCCAAAAAAGUCAUUUCACUUAUAAAAUAAACAGUGCUUUAACGGUAACAAAUCGGAGGAAUAUAUUUGAAAAUACUAGGACUUUCGUAGGGUAAUAUAUGAAAGUUGAACCUUGUGGAGAUAUAUUUACAAUUUGCGAUAUUUGUAGGGACCUGUAUGAAACUAACCUUAAAAAAAAAGCAUGGCCAAUUUGCAUAAAAAAUUCAUAAAUUUUGAGCUUUUGCAAAACUGGGCCGCCUUUUUUGAUUUUACAAAUUCGGUCCGAAUUUUCAGCAAACUGACAAAAAUAUCCUUAUUACUUUUUCUCUCUCAUCCUUUCUCUCUCCUUUUUUUUCUCUAGUUAAUUUUUUUUUCUCUCGCCGAAAAAGGAAAUGGAGGCACAAGCGGAAGCGGAAACGGCCCGCCUCGUCUCUCACCCUCAUGCCCUCGUCCUCACACGCGCCCGCACCCUCGCCCGCGCCCGUGCCUGCGCACCCCCCACCUUCCUCACCUCCGACUUUGCUGAGACCGCAUUGCAUCUCUUUUUUUUUUUCCCUCUCCGCCCUUCCUUCACCGUCUCCAACAACAAUGCAUCUCUUGCCCUCUCUCGCCUUUCCCCGCCCUUCUCGUCCUCUCCCUUUCCUUUCUCCUUCCCCGUCUCCGACGACGACGCAUAUUCACUGACGCCGUGGAGGUCGCUGCAGCACCGCAACUUCGGAGCGAGGGAUCCUUAGCGGCAUCGUCGCUGGCGCCGCGGUCGCCGGCAGAGAGGGAUGAUAAAAAAAAAAAUUAUAAAAAAAGAAGAAAAAAUAAAGACAAAGAAUUAUAGGAAAAAAAAAGAUAAAGAUGAAAUUACGCCGUUAAAAUAAAAUUGCACUAUUUUAAAAGAACAUUGCGCUAUUACGAAUAUAAGUUGCAUUACUUAAGAUGUAAAUUGCAUCCUUUAAGAUAAAAAUUAUACUCUUUAAAUAAAAAUUACACUCUUUGAAAGAUAUUUACACUGUUUCUCCUCUUAUUGCACUCUUUGAGAUGUAAAUUGCAUCCUUUAAGAUAAAAAUUAUACUCUUUAAAAAAUAAAUUUCACUUUUUGAAAGAUAUUUAUACUAUUUAUCCUCAAGGGUGCAUGUGGUUUGAGUUAUCCUAGCAGGAUUAUAGGUAAUCCUGCUAGGAUUACUGUAUUUGUAAUGUAGCAUUACAAAUCGAGCAGGAUUAUACCGAAAAUAUUAACGAGAGAGCGGUCGUGUAUCUUGCAUUACCGAAACCCGUUAAUACUAUAUAUUAUAUAAAAUGACAAUUUUACACUCCAACAACCCCAAAUCUAAUUGACAGCAUUAUUUUCAUCUCUCUCUCGCCUUCCUCCGGCCCUUUCUCUCCCACGCCGCUUUCCCUCGCUCUCUCUCUCUCGACGUCUCUCUCUCUCUCUCUUUCUCUCAAUCUCUCGCACGAACACCUAUCAUCUUCUAUUGUGUCGUCCUCCCAAGUAAUCAUUACGAUCUUCUUCUCUCCAUUCGUCAUUUCCGAAAAAAAUAAUAUUCAAAUAACCACAACAAGGGCAAUUUUGAAAAAAACUAUACUUUUAUGUCAGGAUUACUAAAUUUUAUAAACUGAACCAAAUAUAUUAAUGCUAUAAACACUAUAAUCUAGUAUUACAUUACUGUAUUAAAUUAAACGCUCUAAUGCAGCAUCAGUAAUAAUCUCACGCCGAAAUCCAAAAUACUUGGAUAUGUCGAGAUACUUUAUAAUAUUAUAUAAUUCGAACCAAACGGGCCCUUAAAAGAAUGCUGCGUUAUUACGGAUAUAAGUUGCAUUACUUAAGAUGUAAAUUACUUUCUUUAAUAUGAAAAUUACACUCUUUAAAUAAAAAUUAUACUCUUUGAGAGAUAUUUAUACUAUUUAUUCUCUUAUUGUACUUUUUGAGAAGUAAACUGCACCUUUAUUGGACAAAAUUAUCUAUUUUUUUUUGAAAAAAACCAAAAAUUC